CCGGGGACCGGCCUCCGCCGCGGGCUCUGCCCGCUCGCCUGCUCGCCUAGUGGGGGAGAGGGGAGCGGGGCCGACACAGGGUUCCUGACCAAGCUGGUGCUUCUGUGUGUGUUCCUGCAUGACUUGGUGUGUCCCCUUCUCUUGGAUCUACUGCAGUUGACAGCAGAUAACUGAAAGCUUGGAAAGUGAAACCGUGGAUAAGCAGGGGAACUGUGGCAUCCCAUUUAAAAUUGCUUCUGAAGAGAAGCAUGAGGUUACAUCUGUAAUCUCCCUGCAGCAGAGUCAACUGCAUAAGAAACCAAAAGACACAUCUGCUCCAUGCCAGCCUAAGCCACCACAUAAAAAGUCAGACCAUCUGCUGGAAGAACCACAUGGAGAGGCCCUGAGUCGACAUGGAGAGGAAGAAGGACUUGAUUGAAUCCAGCCUUCCAGCUGUCCCUACCAAGGUGCCAGGCACGAGAAUGAAGCUGUCUUGGACUCUGAAGACCAGCUUAGCCACCAGGUAAAUGCCACUAAGUGACCUCACUCAAUGUCAUGUGGGAUGGAAGAAUCACCCAGCCAAACCCUUCCUGGAUCCCUGACCCAGAAAUUUGUCAGAUGUAAUGGUUGUGUAAAGCCACUCAAUUUGGGGGCAGUUUGUAUGCAGCAUAGCUAGCUGGUAUGAUACAACAGCCUGCAAUUCAGGCAGCAGCAGCACUAACAACCAUGAAAUCCUGCAGGAGCGAACUCCUUUGGGGU
rnacentral:antisense_RNA from 1 species